rnacentral:tRNA from 1 species
GCACCAUUAGCUCAGUUGGUAGAGCAGCUGACUCUUAAUCAGCGGGCCCUAGGUUCGAGUCCUAGAUGGUGCA